rnacentral:lncRNA from 12 species
CCCAGAGCAACUGUGGGACAGAGUAGAAGACUUCAUAAGGGCAUGAAUACCAGGAAGUGGAGAUCACUGGGGACCAUCUUGGAAUGUGACUACCACAAUAUUCUUGGAAUUAGAAGAGUUUCCCAUUGCUGGACUAUGGGGCAAUCAUGAGAGAAUUAACUCAUCUUUCUGGGCACUGGAUACUGAACAAAAGCAAUGCCUGGCCUCAUCUGAACCCUGAAGAUGUAUUUUUCAUCCAAGAAAUUUUGGACUUCAAUAAGAGACGUGUUCUCCUGCAUAAUUACGUUGAUGGGGAAGUGAGCAUACAUAGACCUCAUCUUAUAAAGAAAGCCCCGUGUAGCACCCUUGAUCAUAUUUUGUAAUGACUACAGAAAAUGUGAACAGUAACCAAUUCCUUUCUGUUUUUCCACCAUUUGUCAGCCAGAGCCUCUUCUUUUUCUAUCCAAGAAGACUGAGUUUUAUAGUGAUGUGCUUGAAGUCCUUCUGCAGGGUUCUUUGGGAAUCUUCACAGUAACUGUGUAUCCCUUCCGAGGGAUGUCGACAUUUUCUGGAAUAGUUUAGUUGCUGAGACUGGUCUUCAUUCCCAUACCCAACGUGGCAAAGAACUCAUAUGUUUAUUUGUCAUCUCUAGGUCUUCUUUGGUUAGAUGUCUGUGAAGGUGUGAAGGUAUUUGGCUCAUUUUAAACUAGGUUGUUUAUUUUCAUAUUGUCAGGUUUUAAGAGAUCUUUGUAUAUUUUGGGUAAUAGUCCUUUAUCAGAUGUGUCUUUUACAAAGGUGUGCUCCCAGUCUCUGGGUUGUCUUCUCAUUUUCUUAACACUGCCUUCACAGUUUUGGGAGCACCUGGCUGGCUCAGUCAGUGGAGCAUGUGGUUCUUGAUCUUAGGGUUGAAACAUUGAGCCCCACAUUGGGUGUAGUGAUUACUCUAAAAAAUAAAAAUGAAAAAUUAAAAUAGUCA